UGCAUAUCAAUAAGCGGAGGAAAAGAAACCAACAGGGAUUGCCUCAGUAGCGGCGAGUGAAGCGGCAAGAGCUCAGAUUUGAAAUCUCACCUAGUGUGCGAGUUGUAAAUUGCAGGUUGGAGUCUCGGGUUAGACGUGUGUGCAAGUCCCUUGGAACAGGGYGCCACUGAGGGUGAGAGCCCCGUAGCGUGCAUGUCGACACCUGUGAGGCCCUUCUGACGAGUCGAGUUGUUUGGGAAUGCAGCUCUAAGUGGGUGGUAAAUUCCAUCUAAGGCUAAAUAUUGGCGAGAGACCGAUAGCGAACAAGUACUGUGAAGGAAAGAUGAAAAGCACUUUGAAAAGAGAGUGAAACAGCACGUGAAAUUGUUGAAAGGGAAGGGUAUUGGGCUCGACAUGGGAUUUACGCAUCGUUGCCUCUCGUGGGCGGCGCUCUGGGUUUUUCCUGGGCCAGCAUCGGUUUUCGUUGCAGGAUAAGGACAAUUGGAAUGUGGCUCCUCGGAGUGUUAUAGCCUUUUGUAGAUGCUGCGUAUGGGGACCGAGGGCUGCGGCGGACUCGUUUCGUCUCGGAUGCUGGCACAACGGCGCAAUACCGCCCGUCUUGAA
rnacentral:rRNA from 1 species